rnacentral:lncRNA from 1 species
GGUGGCACGGGGUCAGCGCCAGCGAGCUGACUCAGGGCCUGCGGAGCUGUGCAGAUGGGCAGCUUUUUCUUUUGUUUGCGCUUGUUUGGUGUUUGUUUUGGCUUUGAUGCGUGGACUUAAGAGUUGAAGCUCUGCGAAACUUUUGUGGUGAAAAGGGGAAGAAACGAGAGCCUCAGGAGCUCGUCUGUUGUCAGAGCACGGCGCUGCCAAGAAGCGCUUUAAUUUAUUCACGUGGGGAGCCGUUGGAUGGCGUGGUGGAAGCGCGUUGCUUGUGCCAGAAGGCGUGCUGUAACAACCUCUUAAGUUUUGAAAGCAACCUGAUGGAAAAAACUACCUCGUGGAGAAGAGUGAAUUACAAAUCCUCCGCGACCGAGGCCGCGCCAGGCUGUAAUUUUGGUUUGGCGCUGAUCCACGCCGCUGCGGCUUGUCGAUGGCCUGAUUUAAGUUGUUGGGGCCCUGGGGAUGAAACCAGCCGCCCUCCUCGGUGCCUCUCCUGGGGUUUUGCGCUCUCUCCUAGCCUGGGCCUGAGGCGGGUUUUAAAGGAUUUUCCCCCAGGGUGGAGCUGUGUUAUCAGCACUGCGCCAGGGCCUUGUCCCCCUCCAGCAAGCUGCGCGGGAUUACCAGCAAGUGCUAGUGGGAAAUAAUCUGAGAGUUCAAGAAAUCCACCAGAACCUGCGGAGGGCAGAGCUGCGAUGCCUGCAGGAGGAGGAGGAGGGCAUCCUGGUCAGCCUGGAGGCCAGAAUCGUCAAAAUACUGGAGAAAAAAAACCACAAUUUUGGCCCAAAUGGCCACAAUGCUACACAGAAAAUGCCAGGAGCUUGAUAUCAGGAUGCUCCAGGCGGGGAAAACCCCCCGGUGCUGAGCUUUGGGACCUCAUUUUCUUUUUUUUU